rnacentral:rRNA from 1 species
UACAGAGGUCUCGAGCGUUAGGCGGAAUCACUGGGCUUAAAGCGUGUGUAGGCGGAUGCCUAAGUACCUUGUGAAAUCCCACGGCUUAACCGUGGAACUGCUUGGUAUACUGGGUGUCUUGAGCCACUCAGGGGCGAGCGGAACAAAUGGUGGAGCGGUGAAAUGCGUAGAUAUCAGGAGGAACACCCGUGGCGAAGGCGGCUCUCUGGGACGGUACUGACGCUGAGACGCGAAAGCGUGGGGAGCGAACAGG